AAGAGUUAAACAUAGCUGGGUAAAAAAUACAACACGAAGGGAGGAGCCAAGUUCCUAGGCUCCCGGCAUCCUCGCCGGCCUUCGACGUCUGCCGACGCGUAUGCUGGAGGGGGGUGGCGGCGCGCCAACUGUCGUCGCGCCCUAUCGAUGGCCUCCUCGGUGGCUGUAGCCGCCGGGUCAUGAUGAGGGCGUUUCGUCGCGACUCCUGUGUCCGUUAGGGGAGGCAGCGGAUUCCACCAUCCUGCUGACAGCUCACGGAGAGCGGACGUCACAUCCCUACUGCCGGGUGCGUGAGGCACGAGAAUGGGCGAGGCUUCCCUCUACUCCGGGAGGCGCAGGCCAUGAGUGCCCUGCGGCGAAUGGAAGGAGGC
rnacentral:lncRNA from 1 species